UACAGAGGUCUCAAGCGUUGUUCGGAUUCAUUGGGCGUAAAGGGUGCGUAGGCGGCGCGGUAAGUCGGGUGUGAAAUCUCGGAGCUUAACUCCGAAACUGCAUUCGAUACUGCCGUGCUUGAGGACUGGAGAGGAGACUGGAAUUUACGGUGUAGCGGUGAAAUGCGUAGAUAUCGUAAGGAAGACCAGUGGCGAAGGCGGCUGCCUGGCCCAAUACUGACACUCAGGUGCGACAGCGUGGGGAGCAAACAGG
rnacentral:rRNA from 1 species